AAGCAGCACGUAGGUGAAAGAAACUUCCACGCCUUCUACCAAUUGCUGAGAGGCAGUGAGGACAAGCAGCUGCAUGAACUGCACUUGGAGAGAAACCCUGCUGUAUACAAUUUCACACGCCAGGGAGCAGGACUCAACGUGACUGUGCACAGUGCCUUGGACAGUGAUGAGCAGAGCCACCAGGCAGUGACCGAGGCCAUGAGGGUCAUCGGCUUCAGUCCUGAAGAGGUGGAGUCUGUGCAUCGCAUCCUGGCUGCCAUAUUGCACCUGGGAAACAUUGAGUUUGUGGAGACGGAGGAGGAUGGGCUGCAGAAGGAGGGCCUGGCAGUGGCCGAGGAGGCGCUGGUGGACCAUGUGGCUGAGCUGACGGCCACACCCCGGGACCUUGUGCUCCGCUCCCUGUUGGCUCGCACAGUUGCCUCGGGAGGCAGGGAACUCAUAGAGAAGGGCCACACUGCAGCUGAGGCCAGCUAUGCCCGGGAUGCCUGUGCCAAGGCAGUGUACCAGCGGCUGUUUGAGUGGGUGGUGAACAGGAUCAACAGUGUCAUGGAACCCCGGGGCCGGGAUCCUCGGCGUGAUGGCAAGGACACAGUCAUUGGCGUGCUGGACAUCUAUGGCUUCGAGGUGUUUCCCGUCAACAGUUUCGAGCAGUUCUGCAUCAACUACUGCAACGAGAAGCUGCAGCAGCUAUUCAUCCGGCUCAUCCUGAAGCAGGAGCAGGAGGAGUAUGAGCGCGAGGGCAUCACCUGGCAGAGUGUUGAGUACUUCAACAACGCCACCAUUGUGGAUCUGGUGGAGCGGCCCCACCGUGGCAUCCUGGCCGUGCUGGACGAGGCCUGCAGCUCUGCCGGGACCAUCACUGACCGAAUCUUCCUGCAGACCCUGGACACGCACCACCGCCACCACCUACACUACACCAGCCGCCAGCUCUGCCCCACAGACAAGACCAUGGAGUUUGGCCGAGACUUCCGGAUCAAGCACUAUGCAGGGGACGUCACGUAAGGGCCCCCUCCCACCCACAUCCCUGGCCUUCCCACAGGCAGCAUGGCAUGUGUCAUGGGGCGGGAGCACUUCAGGAGAGUGGCUGGGAGACAGGUGUUAUGGCCCCUUCUGCCACCACUACCCCUUCAAGACACUGAAAACAUGCCGGACAGCAGAUUCACAAGUGAAGAGCAGGAAACAGGGUUUGAGGAUAGUGGUUAACCAUGGCUGCAUUCUUCUGGGAGCCUUUAAAAAAUACCCACAUCUCAUGUCUGGGCCCAACCCUAUACCAGCAUCUGUGGGGUGAGGGGCUUCAGGCUGGUGACGUGGGGGUGGGGAGGGAGUGGAAGGUGCAGAGGGGGCCAAGAUUCUGCAUUUCUAACAAGCUCCCAGGUGAGGCCUCGCUACCAUACUUGGACCACGUUCCCAGUGCCAAAGCCCAGGUGUCCUUCAGAGGUUGUCAUGAUGGCUAUUAAUUUAUGUGUUGCUUGCCGCAUCCCAAAAUGAUUUAAGGUACUCUGUGGAAGGCUUCAUCGACAAGAACAGAGAUUUCCUCUUCCAGGACUUCAAGCGUCUGCUGUACAACAGCACGGACCCCACUCUGCGGGCCAUGUGGCCGGAUGGGCAGCAGGACAUCACAGAGGUGACCAAGCGCCCCCUGACGGCUGGCACACUCUUCAAGAACUCCAUGGUGGCCCUGGUGGAGAACCUUGCCUCCAAGGAGCCCUUCUACGUCCGCUGCAUUAAGCCCAAUGAGGACAAGGUAGCUGGGAAGCUGGACGAGAACCACUGUCGCCAUCAGGUCGCAUACCUGGGGCUGCUGGAGAACGUGAGGGUCCGCAGGGCUGGCUUCGCUUCCCGCCAGCCCUACUCUCGAUUCCUGCUCAGGUACUGGCACCUGACACCCAUCACUCCAUGGGCCGUAGUCCCUGUGUGGAGUCCAAGGGGUAGGAGCAGAGGGUCCCCAAACAGCAUGUCACAAACAUCGGUACAAGCAGGAACCAGCACGCUGCUGGCCUCAAGACACCAAGAUAUCUGGGAGGACAUGUGUGUGAGCACAUGCAUGUGGGGACAUACAGGUGGGAACAUGGGUAUGAGGUCUGUGUGAGGACAUGUAUGUGAGGACAUGUGUAUGGGAAGACACAUGUGCAUAGGUGUCAUAAGUGCUCCAGGAACACAUUCUGUAUCCCUGCCAUCUCCCCAGGUGUGAGGUGGGCAGGGUGGGCUCCAUCAUCUCUCCCUGAGGCCUGGGCCACACUGCCCUGUCCUGUGGUGACAGGUACAAGAUGACCUGUGAAUACACAUGGCCCAACCACCUGCUGGGCUCCGACAAGGCAGCCGUGAGCGCUCUCCUGGAGCAGCACGGGCUGCAGGGGGAUGUGGCCUUUGGCCACAGCAAGCUGUUCAUCCGCUCACCCCGGACACUGGUCACACUGGAGCAGAGCCGAGCCCGCCUCAUCCCCAUCAUUGUGCUGCUAUUGCAGAAGGCAUGGCGGGGCACCUUGGCGAGGUGGCGCUGCCGGAGGCUGAGGGCUAUCUACACCAUCAUGCGCUGGUUCCGGAGACACAAGGUGCGGGCUCACCUGGCUGAGGUGCAGCGGCGAUUCCAGGCUGCAAGGCAGCCACCACUCUACGGGCGUGACCUUGUGUGGCCGCUGCCCCCUGCUGUGCUGCAGCCCUUCCAGGACACCUGCCACGCACUCUUCUGCAGGUGGCGGGCCCGGCAGCUGGUGAAGAACAUCCCCCCUUCAGACAUGCCCCAGAUCAAGGCCAAGGUGGCCGCCAUGGGGGCCCUGCAAGGGCUUCGUCAGGACUGGGGCUGCCGACGGGCCUGGGCCCGAGACUACCUGUCCUCUGCCACUGACAAUCCCACAGCAUCAAGCCUGUUUGCUCAGCGACUAAAGGCACUUCAGGACAAAGAUGGCUUCGGGGCUGUGCUCUUUUCAAGCCACGUCCGCAAGGUGAACCGCUUCCACAAGAUCCGGAACCGGGCUCUCCUGCUCACAGACCGGCACCUCUACAAGCUGGACCCUGACCGGCAGUACCGGGUGAUGCGGGCGGUGCCCCUUGAGGCGGUGAGCAAUGUGGGUUGGGAGUAGCGUGCAGCAUCUGUGAGGGGCACUGCUGGGCUGCUCAGAGUCCUGCCUCAGUCUUCUCCCCCGUUUACCUGAGAUGGCCUAGACCAUCCUAAAACUGAGCGAUGGUGGCACCCGUGCUGAAAAUCCUGCAGUGGCUUCCCACGCCCACAGAGUGAAAGGUCCCAUCCUGUGAUCCCCACCAGCCCAGUCACCCCCCACCCCCACUCUCACACUCUAGCCAAGCCAAAUGGUCCCCUCUUCCAACUUGUGCCCAACUAGGGGUUCUCCCACCUGGGCAUUCUGGGACCUAAGUCCCCGACACAAUGUUCAGGGUCUCCUGUGGGAUACCGUCCCGGCCACUCUGGAACCUUCUGCCGAGCUCUGUGGCCUACUUGCUCCCUUCAUUAGCAGCCGCUGUUCCCAUAAAUUCUCUUUCCCACAGGAUGGGGGCAGGGAUCAAGGCCAGGCUACCUCUGGGUCUCCCACAGUUUCAGGGGUCCCACGACUGUCCCAAUAGAAAGCGCGGUGAGUGCCUCGCUGUCUAAUGCCACAGCCCAGAGCCGGCGUGGUUGUUUAAAUGUAGCGAAAGUGACCUAGAACUAAAAACGGCUCCUCCAGGCAGUAGCACAUGCAAGGGCUUAGCAUCCACAGAUGAGCAGUGGCGGCCCUGUUGGACAGCAAGGAUCUAGAACCAUCCGUCCUGGAGAAAAUCCUAUUGUGCAGCGUUCCGCCCAAGCUUCCCCGUGUCAGCAGGGCCCGGAGAGGGAGGAGGGGGCGGUGGGGGGCCGGUGGCCCUGGCGAGGGCGGCGCUCCCCGGGUGCGGUUGGGGGUUCGGGAGAGGCUUCCUGGGGAGGGGGUAAGUCCGGCUAGGCUGGGGUGCAGGUUGAGGCGGCUGCACUCUGACCUUGGCUCCGCUCAGGUGACGGGGCUGAGCGUGACCAGCGGAGGAGACCAGCUGGUGGUGCUGCACGCCCGCGGCCAGGACGACCUCGUGGUGUGCCUGCACCGCUCGCGGCCGCCACUGGACAACCGCGUUGGGGAGCUGGUGGGCGUGCUGGCCGCACACUGCCAGGGGUGAGUGCGGGCUGGGCGGUGGCGGGCACGAAGCCCCGGUCGCGUGGCCGCCCUGACCCCUCCUCCUGCCGCAGGGAGGGCCGCGCCCUGGAGGUUCGCGUCUCCGACUGCAUCCCACUAAGCCAUCGCGGGGUCCGGCGCCUCAUCUCCGUGGAGUCCAGGCCGGAGCAGCCAGAGCCCGAUUUCCGCUGCUCUCGCGGCUCCUUCACCCUGCUCUGGCCCAGCGGCUGAGCGCCCGCACCCGCCGCACCCCGAGGCCGCCGAUUGUCCGCCCCGCCCGCGCUGCAAAUAAACCUUCUGAGUC
rnacentral:sRNA from 1 species